rnacentral:rRNA from 1 species
GAUCAUGGCUCAGGACGAACGCUGGCGGCGCGCCUAACACAUGCAAGUCGAACGGAGUUAUUAAGACAGAAGCCUUCGGGUGGAAGAUUUAGUAACUUAGUGGCGGACGGGUGAGUAACACGUGAGGAACCUGCCUUGCAGAGGGGGGAUAACAUCUGGAAACGGAUGCUAAUACCGCAUGACACCAUUGGGGGGCAUCCCCCGAUGGUCAAAGAUUUAUCGCUGCAAGAUGGCCUCGCGGUCG